rnacentral:rRNA from 1 species
UACGUAGGGGGCAAGCGUUGUCCGGAUUUAUUGGGCGUAAAGAGCGUGUAGGCGGCUUUACAGGUCCGUUGUGAAAACUCGAGGCUCAACCUCGAGACGCCGGUGGAAACCGUAAAGCUAGAGUCCGGAAGAGGAGAGUGGAAUUCCUGGUGUAGCGGUGAAAUGCGCAGAUAUCAGGAAGAACACCAAUGGCGAAGGCAGCGCUCUGGGACGGUACUGACGCUGAGACGCGAAAGCGUGGGGAGCGAACAGG